ensembl:lncRNA
CUUUAUUGUCAUGGUCCUGGGUCGCUGACCCAGUGUUUUGAGUUUAUUAUUAUUAUUUUCUAGUUUCUUCUGUUUUUGUAUUAGUUCUUAAGGUUUGGGUUUUGUGUUUAGUGUUUCUGUUAUCCCUACCUGUGUCCUCUCCCGGUGUUCUGUUCAUGUCUCUGAGUUUGUGUUUGGAAAACAGUCUGUGAAUUUCCUGUUUUACUUUGAAGGUCUGUGUCUCGUGAUGGCCAUUAGUUCCAGCUGUGUUCCCCUCUGGUGUGUCAUUCCCUCAUUGCCUUGUGUGUAUUUAUAGGGUGUCCUGCCUGUGUUCCUCGUCAGUUCGUCUGUGUUAUUUUGUGUUUCUCUGUGUCUCUCUGCUCCUCGCCUCGUGUCCUCCCUUUGUGUUAUGUUUCAGGUCAGCUUACUAGCUUUCCCAGUUCAGUUUACUUUGUAAUUUUUUAUCACUGCUUUGUGUCACUGUCACCCGUCAUCAAUAAACCUCACUCGCAUCAUCGCCGUUGUCUGCAACUUGGGUCCUUUCUCUCCAAACACCACACAACUGCUGCCCCAGCCGUGACAUUUAUUGUACCUAAAUUUUCUUUUUCUCUUCAUCUAUUUUUUUAUUUUUUUAUUUUACUAGCUAUAACAGCCUUUGACAGGACAGUAAAGUUGGAAUUUAAAGGCUAAUGUUUUCAAACUCAUUCCAUUUUUCUCAAGAUUUAUUUCGGAGACUCUGUAUAAGAUGAUGCCAUAAUUAAUGGUGAGUUUAUAUUAAAUUAGCCUUUUUAAACUCAUAAAAAAUAUCAAAGUUCUGAUCCCUUCAUCUAAUAAGGUUAGAGUAUUACAAUUUUAUCAUGCGUUUUCUCUUUUUUACUUUUAAAACCUGUAACAGCUCCACAACGAAUAAGCUCUAAAGAAUGAGAUUUAAUAGCUACUUGAAGUACUUUAGAUUAAUUUAAGCUCUAUUUACACAACUAUGCACAUCCAUACAGCACUUUAUUUAUCUUCAUUAAAGGCUUCAUCUAGUGUGCUAGACAGUGCAGCUGCUGUAAAACACUGUGAUAUUCUGGGGCUGCUUUGCUGCUUCAGGACCUGGAC